rnacentral:rRNA from 1 species
UACGUAGGGGGCAAGCGUUGUCCGGAUUUACUGGGUGUAAAGGGUGCUCAGGCGGUUAUGUAAGUCAGGGGUGAAAUCUCAGAGCUUAACUCUGAAACUGCCCUUGAUACUGCAUAGCUUGAGAACGGAAGAGGCCGAUGGAAUUCCUGGUGUAGCAGUGAAAUGCGUAGAUAUCAGGAAGAACACCAGUGGCGAAGGCGGUCGGCUGGUCCGUAUCUGACGCUAAAGCACGAAAGCGUGGGGAGCAAACAGG